UUGUCUUGUAAUUGGAAUGAUGGUGACGUAAAAUCUCACCAGAGUAACAAUUGGAGGGCAAGUCUGGUGCCAGCAGCCGCGGUAAUUCCAGCUCCAAUAGCGUAUAUUAAACUUGUUGCAGUUAAAAAGCUCGUAGUUGAAUUUCUGCGUUGCCCGACUCGGCUACUUGCCUUGUCUGGUUUCGCUUUUGGGGUUUUCCCCUUUUUACUUUGAGAAAAUUAGAGUGUUUCAAGCAGACUUGUGUCUUGAAUACUUCAGCAUGGAAUAAUAAAGUAGGACUUUGGUUCUAUUUUGUUGGU
rnacentral:rRNA from 1 species